AAGUCGAACGAGCGAGAGAGAGCUUGCUUUCUCGAGCGAGUGGCGAACGGGUGAGUAACGCGUGAGGAACCUGCCUCAAAGAGGGGGACAACAGUUGGAAACGACUGCUAAUACCGCAUAAGCCCACGGGUCGGCAUCGACCAGAGGGAAAAGGAGCAAUCCGCUUUGAGAUGGCCUCGCGUCCGAUUAGCUAGUUGGUGAGGUAACGGCCCACCAAGGCAACGAUCGGUAGCCGGACUGAGAGGUUGAACGGCCACAUUGGGACUGAGACACGGCCCAGACUCCUACGGGAGGCAGCAGUGGGGAAUAUUGCACAAUGGGGGAAACCCUGAUGCAGCGACGCCGCGUGGAGGAAGAAGGUCUUCGGAUUGUAAACUCCUGUUGUUGGGGAAGAUAAUGACGGUACCCAACAAGGAAGUGACGGCUAACUACGUGCCAGCAGCCGCGGUAAAACGUAGGUCACAAGCGUUGUCCGGAAUUACUGGGUGUAAAGGGAGCGCAGGCGGGAAGACAAGUUGGAAGUGAAAUCUAUGGGCUCAACCCAUAAACUGCUUUCAAAACUGUUUUUCUUGAGUAGUGCAGAGGUAGGCGGAAUUCCCGGUGUAGCGGUGGAAUGCGUAGAUAUCGGGAGGAACA
rnacentral:rRNA from 1 species